CCAUUUAAACACACAUAGACUACGCUCAAAUGUAACAUAUCCAGCAAAACUAGGAUGGUGUUUAUCUUCCCAAAUUUUAGAAGUCUGUAUUGGAGCAUGUACUGCAGAGUUGGUUACUGAAGAUGCUCUUUAAAGUAUGUGAGAGAUUUUUUGGAUUAUGUUCACAGGAGUGUUUAUGUUGUUUAACAGAAGAUGAAUAACCCUUUGAAAUCUCUGUUUCUCUCCAUCAGCCAGAAAAGCAGCCAAAGGUGACUGUCUCAGACAGUUCAACCCAUUGGAACAUUUUGCAUUGAUUCAUUAAAGGUUCUUUCCCAGUAUCUUUUUCCAAAGUUUCAACUAUGAUUUCUCCUUGUCAUUGGUAUCCAAACUUCACACACUGAAUGAGCCAGAUUCAAUAGGCCUUCAGAAAAGGACUUGAUCUCAGCAGCGUUUCCAGGAAUAAUCCCUAAAUCGUUAACUUUGAAAAGAAGAAAGCUCGACAAGAAUUAGGUGAUCAAAUGCAGCAGCAUUCCACUGAGGAAAAGGACAGAGCAGCACAGUGUUUGGUGGGAGCUGGGCUCCCCUGUAAGGCAGCAGAAUGACUCAACUGAUCUAAAAGUGCACUCAAGAGAGCUCAAAUUCCACUGACAGAAAAUCAACAGCGAUUGAAAGAUGCAAUCCCUACCUCCCAAGUGUGACUUUGAGGUGUUGGACUGGAGCAUAGGAACAUACUUUUUAUAAUCUGGAGGUGGUUUGUUUGAAAAGAGCUCAUUUCCUUGGAAGGGUAAUUA
rnacentral:lncRNA from 1 species